rnacentral:rRNA from 1 species
UGAGAUUGCAGCCCAAAGAGGGUGGUAAACCUCAUCUAAGGCUAAAUACGACCAUGAGACCGAUAGCAAACAAGUACCGUGAGGGAAAGUUGCAAAGAACUUUGAAGAGAGAGUUCAAGAGGGCGUGAAACCGCUGAGAUGGAAACGGAUAGAGUUAACGAAACUUAUCGGUAUUCAACCGAUCAAUUUAGCAUAUCUUUAUAAAAUUAUUAUUCAUGAAUAAUGAAUGAAAUUUUAUUAAAGAAUGUAAUGCUAGAUUAAUACAAAUGAUUGGUGUAUUUACCGAUAGUAUGCAUCGAGAACUUCGUUUUAAAAGCAUAUUGGAGCAAAUUUUUAGUGGACCAAUUAUUACAAUUAAUAAUUGGAAUCCUAAAAAUAUGUUUAAUUUAUUAAUAUGUCUUAAAUGAAGUUAUUUUUCCCAAAUAUAUAACUAUCACUUGAAAUAAUAGUGACAUGCAUCGAUUAUAAUUUUUAUUAAAUAUAUUUUACAUGUAGUCGCAUGCGACUUUAAUUGUAAAUAUAUU